ACGCUCGACACCUACGGGAGGCAGCAGUUAGGAAUAUUCGUCAAUGGAGGAAACUCUGAACGAGCAAUGCCGCGUGAGCGAUGAAGGCCCUAUGGGUCGUAAAGCUCUGUUGUAAAGGAAGAAUACUUGAUAUAGGAAAUGAUAUCAAGCUGACGGUACUUUACCAGAAAGCCCCGGCUAACUACGUGCCGCAGCAGCGGUAAUCUGAGCGGGCGUGGCAAGGC
rnacentral:rRNA from 1 species